rnacentral:hammerhead_ribozyme from 1 species
AUCCAGUUGAUGAGUCCCAGAUAGGAUGAAAUUACCGUUGUCCUGGAU